AGCGAACGCUGGCGGCAGGCCUAACACAUGCAAGUCGAACGAAGCCUUCGGGCUUAGUGGCGGACGGGUGAGUAACACGUGGGAACGUACCUUUUGGUUAGGAACAACUCAGGGAAACUUGAGCUAAUACCGGAUGAGCCCAUAGGGGGAAAGAUUUCUCGCCGAAAGAGCGGCUCGCGUUAGAUUAGCUAGUUGGCGAGGUAAAGGCUCACCAAGGCAACGAUCUAUAGCUGGUCUGAGAGGAUGAUCAGCCACACUGGUACUGAGACACGGCCCAGACUCCUACGGGAGGAAGCAGUGGGGAAUCUUGCGCAAUGGCCCGAAGCAUGCCGCAGCCAUGCCGCGUGAAUGAUGGAGGACUUAGGAUUGUAAAAUUCUUUUACCAGGGACGAUAAUGACGUUACCUGGAGAAAAAGCCCCGGCUAACAUCGUGCCAGCAGCUGCGGUAAAAC
rnacentral:rRNA from 1 species